rnacentral:lncRNA from 1 species
GCGGCCUCGGGGCACGGCGGGCCCAGGCCGGAGGAGCUUUCGGUGGCGCGACCCCGCUGGCAUGCUCCCGGCCUCGGCCUCGGCCUCGGCCUUGGCCUCCGGGCCUCCAGCGCACGCGGGGCGUCCAGGGCCUCAUCUUCCCCUGGGGACCGCCCGGCCGUGUCCCGCUGCCCUCGGCGCAGGGGUGGGAGUUGCAGAGAGGAAGAGUCGCUAACCCGGAGUGUUUCUUAAAACUUGGCUGACCUGUGACCUGCGGAUUUGGAGGCUGAAUUCUCCGAGCACCUGAAGCUACUGCAGGAUAUAAUCUAAGAAAAUAAGGGGAAGAAAACAAGAAAGAGGAAGACAUUGGAUCCAAGAAAUGGGGGAUCUAUCACCUUACAGAUGAAAAGAGAAUCUACAUGAUCUUUGUGAAGAUAUGACCUUGGGACUUGCUUUAGCCAGUGGAAUGGAAGCAGAAGUAACCUGUAAUUUCCAGACUGGAAAUGUUCCAGAUAGUACCAGCUCUUUAAACCUGAGUCCUAGAGUAAAGAUGGCAGAGUGGAGCCUCAAGCCAACGUGUGACAGAUAUGUAAAUAGACCAAGAAAUAAAUCUUUGGGUGUUUUGAAGCA